rnacentral:rRNA from 1 species
CCUACGGGGGGCAGCAGUGGGGAAUAUUGGACAAUGGGCGAAAGCCUGAUCCAGCCAUGCCGCGUGUGUGAAGAAGGCCUUCGGGUUGUAAAGCACUUUCAGUGGGGAAGAAAGCCUUGGGGCUAAUACCCUCGAGGAAGGACAUCACCCACAGAAGAAGCACCGGCUAACUCCGUGCCAGCAGCCGCGGUAAUACGGAGGGUGCGAGCGUUAAUCGGAAUUACUGGGCGUAAAGCGCGCGUAGGCGGUCUGAUAAGCCGGUUGUGAAAGCCCCGGGCUCAACCUGGGAACGGCAUCCGGAACUGUCAGGCUAGAGUGCAGGAGAGGAGGGUAGAAUUCCCGGUGUAGCGGUGAAAUGCGUAGAGAUCGGGAGGAAUACCAGUGGCGAAGGCGGCCUUCUGGACUGACACUGACGCUGAGGUGCGAAAGCGUGGGUAGCAAACAGGAUUAGAUACCCCGGUAGUC